ensembl:lncRNA
AGCAGGAGCGCGGAGAGGCUGCGGCACGAGGGGGCCCAUGGCGCGCCGGGCGGGGGGCCGAUCAAGGCGAGGGGCCGGGCGCGUUCGGACUGGACUGGGCCGAAUUGGGGCCGACUUCCGUGAACUCACAGGUGCUCUGGGGCUCCCCAAGCCACUGAGCUACUUAGCAUAGCAGCAGCCAGGUGAGCCUCGAAGCACCGCCCCCGACGUCGCUGAUUGGCUGAAGACGCACCUGCCAGCCGCAGCCAAUGAGAGACGGCGCACGGCCCUUGGCUUCCUUCGUGGGCCAGAGCUGACCUACCGCCCACCCAUAGCUCCGCCCCCUGCCCUCGCGCCCGACCCCGGGACCCACAGGUCUGUAAUAGGUAGAGGGAAGAGGACCAUACGGACCUGCAAGAUUCCUGUGCUACUAAGUUCGAAUCCUAGCCCCGCCGGUGGACCACUGAGAUCUGAGGCUUGGAUCCGCAGGUGGCCACGGUGAACUCAUCCUGGAAGCUGUUGAACAAAACAUUCCAGCCUUGUACUUGGUGGCUGUAUGAGUUGACUUCUCCUUGUUGGACAAAAUAUCUGACACCCACAACUUAAGAGAAGUUUGUUUGGCUCCCUGUUUCAAAGGGUUUCAGUCUGUGAUUGGCUGGUCCAAGGCAGAAAUGGCAAGGCGGAAGGACCCGAGGAAGCUCAAGCCAUAGAAACCAGGAAGCAGAAAGAAAGCAAGAGAACCAGAGGAAGAGAAAGACCUAGGGGAUAAGAAUGCAUCCUCCAGGUCACAUUCCCAGUGACCCACCUUCUCCAACCAGGGCCACCUCCUCACCGCACAUUCAGUCACACACUCAUGAAUGGAUUUAUUCAUUGAUGAGCAUAGCACCCCCAGGACCCAAUUACCUUCCCAAAACCCCACUUCUGAAUAUGUGGUACUUUUGGGGGACAUUUUAAAUCUAAACCAUAACAGUGGGCUAACAGGAAGUCAACUUCACUCAGAAACUACUGAGUUAUUCUCAUGGCUGGCAUCAUCAUUUUGUAAUAUUAUUCAGUGCUGGACCUACUGAAGGAGCACGUACCAGCUCCAACUGGUGAUAGGCUAAGCUAGCCCUGUAUCAUAGUCUUGGACAAAACAUUCUUAACUGAUAACUGGCUGUGCAGAGCUGAGCAGAAUCUGACUGAAGGGUUAAGACUGCAAAGGGGACAGACACAAUAUGAAGACAGAGAUGCCACAGCUUCUACCCCAUUCUUGUCCCCCAUCCGACAUCCGUGGGCCCAAGUGAACAGUCAGUGUACUCAGCAAAAGUGGCCUUCAGACUCCUGGGAAGUAACCCAGGGAACCAUUAUCAUAAGGCACACGUCAAAGCGUUAUCUGCAGCAAAGCUUGUAAUUGCCAGCUGUGUGACCUCCAGAAUUAGUGGUUUUAAGUUGACCGAGAGCAAGUGAAGCUAGAGGGAUUGUUUAGGUUUUCUACUUGGUAACAAUUUCUCAUUUCAUCUGCACCUGUGGUUUUAGCAGAGUCUCAUGACUGCCCUGUUGAAAUAUCCCAUGUUAGGGGCCGGGGAUUUAGCUCGGUGGUUCUACCACCUGCCACAAAAGCGCAAGGUCCCGAGUUCGAUCCCCAGUAAAAAAAAAAAAAAGUUAAGAAGCUAAGAUUCAGUUGAUGUCAGCUGAUUACUCCAUUAUCAAGUUCCCUAUCACCUUGUGGUUUGUAGCCCUGGGGAGGAUGGCUCUUCAGAUCCAUUAUCUCAUCAGGCCAAACAGCAAGCAUUUACUAAGCACUCACAUGUGCCAGGCAUUCUGGUCGAUACAGGGGACACAGAAAUAAACAAAAUUUGGUCUCUGUCCUUAAGAAUCUUAUAAGGUAGGAGGUGCUGAUGAGUAAACAUUCAUCCAUUUAGUUAUUUAAUGCCAGGUAUGUAUCAAGUAUUGUGCUAGAUGCUAGUAAUUGCAUUAUAGUAGGUGACAAAAGUGAUAUCUACCAUUUAUUGAAGCUCCCCAUACUCCAUAUGCAUUAUAGCACCAGCCCCAUAUAGCCCUUUGCUACCAUGCAUCCCUCUGACAGCUUCAGAAGCAGAGGCUCACAGAGAGGUAGAGAUCUGAUGAAGGUCAGGGUUCUUCGCAGAACAGAGCCAGUAGGAUACACAGUAUAUAUGGAGAACAUGCCACCAACCAGCUAGAGAACCCAGGAGGUCAGUAGCAUGGCUCAGUUCAAGUCCAAAGGCCUGAGAAAUUGGGAUGUCACUGGUACAAGUCCCCGAGUCCAAAAGUAGAACCAAGAGUUCUGACGUUUCGGUCAGAAGAGCCUCCUGGCUCCUGAAGAGAAAGAGCAAAUUUGCCUUUCCUCUGCCCUUUUGUUCUACAAUCUGCGUUUGUCUGUUAUGUUGGAAGUUUUGUUUUUUGUUUUUAAGUUUUUCCAUCUUUUUUCCUUUCAGUACUGGGGAUUGAAUCCAUGCCCUUUGCAUUGAGCUACACCCCCAGGUCUUAAAAAAAAUUUUUUUUAAGGCCAGGGAUUUAGCUCAGUGGUGCCGACUCUUGCCUUGAAAGCGCAAAGUCCCGAGUUCAAUCCCGAUACCCCCAAAAAAAUUUUUCUUUUUUUAAAUUUUGACAGCAUCUCAUUAAGUUGCCCACAUAGUACUCAAAGUUGAGAUCUUCCUGCCUCCGCCUCCCUCAGUGCUAGAAUUACAGGCAUAUGCCACCAUGCCUGAUUUCCAAAGCAUCUUAAAUCCAUGCAAUACUCUUAAGAUCAGGGUAGAUUUGAUUAGGUGCCAUUUGAACUGAGUGGCAAACAUUGUUCAAUUUAGCAAGAUAUGGUCUGAGGCAUUGGUCAGAAACUCCAGGCCCCAGGACAGCUAAGAGAAGCCCAGCAAGAAUAAGGCCUAGAGGGCUGGGGAUUUAGCUCAGUGGUUCCGCUGCCUGUCUCAUAAGCACGAGGUCCUGAGUUUGAUCCCCGGUACCAAAAGAAAAUAAUAAGGCCUAGGUGCUGCUUGUCCAGCCAGAGUGGAUGGGACCACUGGGGUUCACGCCAGUCAGUGCCAGUUUAUCUACAGAACAAAAGGUUUGUCCUCGUUUUCCAGAGAAGGGGGCCGAGCCGUGGAGAGAUGGGCAGAGGCCACUUGACACUGGCACUCUGGCUCCAAGACAAGUUUGGUUCCCUGGCAGACUUGGUCCCUGACUGCCUGAGUCCAAAUUCCACUCUUCCACCUGCUAGUUACAGGCCUUUGACCCAAUCACUUCAACUCUUUUUGGACUCCUGAUUUCCUCAUCUUCCUCAUGAGAAUAGUCACAGUACCUCCCUUGUUGAGUGGCUUCAAGAAUUUGGGGAGAUAACCUAAGUAAACAUGACACAUGGGAAGUGCUUAAUAAACAUUAACUUAUUAUUUCCAUAGUCCACAUUUCUCAGGGGCCAGAGUUUCCUGGAGCUGAGUCUGUGGCCAGCAGGCCCCUACUGUCCCUACACUUAGUGAGGUCCCCUGCAAAGAGCUGCUGCCAUGAGCCUUCGUCCACACUGGAUGUCUCAGGAAUGACAGAUAAGCACUGUGGAAAAACUGUCGGGACCCAGAGACCUUUGGCUUCCUGUCCCCCACUUCCAAGCAAAGAAGGCCCCACUGCUCUUCUGGAGCCAGAGGCAUCUGGCCAAGGAUUCUCUACUGGGAUGGAGAGACAAAGCCCUUCCCAAACACCAAGCCUCUCCAGGCUCAGCCAGCAAUGAAAUCAUG